GCCCAGACUCCUACGGGAGGCAGCAGUGGGGGAUAUUGCACAAUGGGGGAAACCCUGAUGCAGCGACGCCGCGUGGGCGAAGAAGUAUUUCGGUAUGUAAAGCCCUCUCAGCAGGGAAGAAGAAAUGACGGUACCUGAGUAAGAAGCACCGGCUAAAUACGUGCCAGCAGCCGCGGUAAUACGUAUGGUGCAAGCGUUAUCCGGAUUUACUGGGUGUAAAGGGAGCGCAGGCGGCACGGCAAGCCUGAUGUGAAAGCCCGCGGCCCAACCGCGGGACUGCAUUGGGAACUACCGGGCUGGAGUGCCGGAGGGGCAGGCGGAAUUCCUGGUGUAGCGGUGAAAUGCGUAGAUAUCAGGAGGAACACCGGUGGCGAAGGCGGCCUGCUGGACUGCAACUGACGUUGAGGCCCGAAAGCGUGGGGAGCAAACAGGAUUAGAUACCCUGGUAC
rnacentral:rRNA from 1 species